UACGUAGGGGGCAAGCGUUAUCCGGAUUUACUGGGUGUAAAGGGAGCGUAGACGGCAAGGCAAGUCUGAUGUGAAAGCCCAGGGCUUAACCCUGGGACUGCAUUGGAAACUGUCUGGCUCGAGUGCCGGAGAGGUAAGCGGAAUUCCUAGUGUAGCGGUGAAAUGCGUAGAUAUUAGGAAGAACACCAGUGGCGAAGGCGGCUUACUGGACGGUAACUGACGUUGAGGCUCGAAAGCGUGGGGAGCAAACAGG
rnacentral:rRNA from 2 species